UGGUAUUUGCUGCAGGAUAGCACUAGUUGGUCCCUGGAGACUGCUGUCUGGUUGGAGAGUCACCUGCUCCCUCCAUGGAGACAGACCAGCAUGAUCAACAGGCAUUUGCAGCAGAAAAUGGGAAGAGAGGCGCCCAAAAGAAGAAUUGGCUUUGGGGAUGAACAGUGAGAUAUACCUGCUGGAGCGCGUGCUACGGAUGGGUGCUGCUAUGGUGACCAGUGAGCUGAGAUAAGUCGGCUGGAGGGAGUUGGCGGUUACGGUUACAGAAGUCAUCAAAAGAGAGCGCCUGGGGAAUAGGAGUGGUGCUAGGCACUGCAGGUCCUGGAUUCACCUCUACAUCACCAGAGGAACAGAGGAGGAGUUGGUGGUUGACCCAUCAGAGGAGUUUUAUUAUGGAUGGCUACAGGUCAUGACCUUUCCCAUCUUCUACAUCUGGGUUCUCUUCAUCCGCAUAUGCUUACAUCAAAUGAAGCCUAUGGCUGGCCGGUUAUCCAUUCUCAGGUGUUCGCUGUCAAUGUACUGUUUCUCUGUUUCUCUGUUCUUGACUUCUGUUGUUUAUUUUUUGUGUUUUUCUUCUUUGUAUAAAUAUGUUGAGACCUUGUACACAUGAAAUAAAUUGUGAUUUGAUUGGAUAGAUAAU